GUCAAACAGGAAUGGUUCCAAUUGUUUUUCCACCAUUCAUUUUAUCCAUCGUGGAUUUUGGAAACAAUUGAAAUAAGAGUUGUGUUUCAUGUAGGCUUAUCUUGGCGUGAUGUUUUGAUAACCAUGUAAAUCUCUCUCGGACAAGGUGACUUUUAUCAGUAUAUUCACCUCUAUUUACCCCUCAAAAAUGUAAUGCUAAUUAGCUGCUAAUGUGGCUAUCAUACAGAAUUACAAAUGCCUGUCUCAAGCUUCACGUCACUCACCAGGGCCAUGAUGAUCUGGACAAGACUGCCGAAUCGAGGCAAAGAACCAAUGGGUGUGCCUGAGUCUUAUCACCUCUCAACUAGGUUAGCUGUUUCAACCUGGAACAGUAUUCCAGGUUUAUAUAUAGCGCAUGCUCCACUCAAGUUAAAGUUGAACUUGUUGACUGAUGCCAUGGCGGCGGCUGCUAAAAAGAAGGGAGCAGCUGCGAACCAGAAGACUGCAUCCAGGGCAGCCCUGGUCCACACCUGCCCUGUUUGUCAGAGGCAGACCCGAAGACAUUCAAGCAGCACUUUGAGAGCAAGGAUUCCAAGCCUCCAAUGGCCCCAGUACUGGUUGAUGUGCAGGCCUAUGUAACCACACACACUCAAAUGGACCUACAGCUGGGACACACGAUGACCAGGAUUUGAGUGCUGCAACUGAAACGGAAUGACGUCAAGGGACACGCUGAGACCCUGAGUAUGACAGGACAUGGGGCGGAUAUUUGUGACAACGAUUUAAAAGGGGUGCAGGCACACUAGCACCCCAUUUCUAUCUUUAUUCCAUGACCAAUCUUCUCUCUAGCUACCCCUUAUUCCACACUAUGCCUUUUAUGCCCCAUGGUCCCUCAACUUUGGACACUUUGGAACUUUCCAUCUUAUCUCUAUACACGCAGCCUACCUUCACCCAUUUUCCCUAUGCUGCUUUCUUCACUUGUUGUUCCUCUGAUUUGAUAACAUCUAGACUCAGUAACAUGUUUAAAAGUUUUGUGGUGUACUGUUUUUCUACCCUUUUCUCCUGUGUAGUGCUGUCCUCCUGCUUUUCUGGGGUUCAGACUGAAUGCAGUGGUAAAUGUGCUGCUCACAAAUGACAGCAGCAACAUGGACCUGUUCAAUUGACAAGAAGGGUGUUGAUAUAGCUGUGUUUAAAGAUGGCUUCCUUGUUUUGAGUCUGUUAAUUGUGUUUCUCCUUCUGCUGGAGUUGAUCUAGUAUUUUCUAUAAAACCUACCUUAGGCAUUA